GGAAUAUUGCACAAUGGGCGCAAGCCUGAUGCAGCGACGCCGCGUGAGGGAUGAAGGCUUUCGAGUUGUAAACCUCUUUCAGUAGGGACGAAGCGAAAGUGACGGUACCUACAGAAGAAGCCCCGGCCAACUACGUGCCAGCAGCCGCGGUAAUACGUAGGGGGCGAGCGUUGUCCGGAUUUAUUGGGCGUAAAGAGCUCGUAGGCGGCUUGACAGGUCGGCCGUUAAAGUCCGAGGCUCAACCUCGGGAGGCCGGUCGAAACUGUCAUGGCUUGGGUCCGGUAGAGGAGAGUGGAAUUCCCGGUGUAGCGGUGAAAUGCGCAGAUAUCGGGAGGAACACCAGUAGCGAAGGCGGCUCUCUGGGCCGGUACCGACGCUGAGGAGCGAAAGCGUGGGGAGCAAAC
rnacentral:rRNA from 1 species